CCAGGCUGUUGUUGUUCUCAACGUG
rnacentral:miRNA from 1 species